GAUGAACGCUGGCGGCGUGCUUAAUACAUGCAAGUCGAGCGAGGACCACCCGGUGGCAACACCGGGUGACUCCUAGCGGCGAACGGGUGAGUAACACGUGGGCAACCUGCCCCCGACUCUGGGAUAGGCCCGGGAAACUGGGUCUAAUACCGGAUACGAGCCUCCUCCGCAUGGUGGAGGUUGGAAAGGGUCUCCGGUCGGGGAUGGGCCCGCGGCCUAUCAGCUUGUUGGUGGGGUGACGGCCCACCAAGGCAACGACGGGUAGCCGGACUGAGAGGGUGAACGGCGACGCUGAGACUGAGACACGGCCCAGACUCCUACGGGAGGCAGCAGUAGGGAAUCUUGCGCAAUGGGCGAAAGCCUGACGCAGCGACGCCGCGUGCGGGACGAAGGCCCUCGGGUUGUAAACCGCUUUCAGCAGGGACGAAGCGAAAGUGACGGUACCUGCAGAAGAAGGUCCGGCCAACUACGUGCCAGCAGCCGCAGUAAGAC
rnacentral:rRNA from 1 species